AAUAUUCAUCGCAUCGUCAUUCGUCCACGCGAAUCGGCAGCCGAUUACAAUACAUAAACGUCUCGCACGCGCACACACUGUAGUGCACUGCACUGACUACGUAUGUGCACGUGACAAGAAAGACCGAGAUCUUAGACUCUACGCACAAUUGAAAAAUAUUAGAUAUUAGAAAUAAAAAUUAGAAUUUUAAGCGCUCCUAUAAGUAGCGCCCUUUUUACGAUAUUAUGUUUAGUGUAUGAAUUUACAAUAACAUUGUCAUAAUCCCAAUGAGACAUGAUCCAUUGAAUCGACGUCGAAAUCAUUGACAUAUCGAAUCGAAAUAGCGUUCGAAAUAAGUUCAUUUUGAUGAGUUUUGUGAAUAUCAAUUUUUUUAAAGAUACACAUUAUUUGCAAUACGUAUUUAUCAUUGGGAUGUUAAAUAAGUAAAAAUACGACAUUUUUGCUAAGAUAUUGUGAAAAAAGCAUGUUAAAAAAAGGUCGAUUUUCCGAUUAAAAAUGUAACCUAGUUUUGUGUGUGUGUGUGUGUGUGUAUGUCGGGGGGAGGAGUAUACGAUUAUGUCAUAUUUAAAAUAAAUCUUUUUAUUGUAGCUGUAUUCUGAAAUUCAUUGCCAGUACUGAAAAUCUAUCAUAAUAUGAAUUAUAAAUUUUCAAUAUUAGCAGUGAAUUUCGGAACACAGCAUGUGUAUAUAAGAUUAAAAUUGUUUUAAAAUCUUUUUAAAAACUUUGUAUAAAAAAAAGGCGCACUUACUGUAUCGGUCAUAUAUUUAACGCCUAAAAAUUAUAAAAAAGAAAUAAAGUUUUUGUGCUAAAAAA